GAUGAACGCUGGCGGCGUGCCUAACACAUGCAAGUCGAGCGAACGGACGAGAAGCUUGCUUCCCUGAUUUUAGCGGCGGACGGGUGAGUAACACGUGGAUGACCUACCUAUAAGACUGGGAUAACUUCGGGAAACCGUAUCUAAUACCGGAUAAUAUUUUGAACCUCAUUGUUCAAAAGUUAAAGACGCUCUUGCUUUCACUUAUAGAUGGAUCCGCGCUGCAUUAGCUAGUUGGUAAGGUAACGGCUUACCAAGGCAACGAUGCAUAGCCGACCUGAGAGGGUGAUCGGCCACCCGGGAACUGAGACACGGUCCAGACUCCUACGGGAGGCAGCAGUAGGGAAUCUUCCGCAAUGGGCGAAAGCCUGACGGAGCAACGCCGCGUGAGUGAUGAAGGUCUUCGGAUCGUAAAACUCUGUUGUUAGGGAAGAACAUAUGUGUAAGUAACUGUGCACAUCUUGACGGUACCUAAACAGAAAGCCACGGCUAACUACGUG
rnacentral:rRNA from 1 species